GAUGAACGCUGGCGGCGUGCCUAACACAUGCAAGUCGAGCGAACAGACGAGGAGUUUGCUCCUCUGACGUUAGCGGCGGACGGGAGAGUAACACGUGGAUAACCUACCUAUAAGACUGUGAUAACUUCGGGAAACCGGUGCUACUACCGGAUGAUAUAUUGAACCGCAUGGUUCACUAGUGAAAGACGGUUUUGCUGUCACUUAUAGAUGGAUCCGCGCCGCAUUAGCUAGUUGGUAAGGUAACGGCUUACCAAGGCAACGAUGCGUAGCCGACCUGAGAGGGUGAUCGGCCACACUGGAACUGAGACACGGUCCAGACUCCUACGGGAGGCAGCAGUAGGGAAUCUUCCGCAAUGGGCGAAAGCCUGACGGAGCAACGCCGCGUGAGUGAUGAAGGUCUUCGGAUCGUAAAGCUCUGUUAUUAGGGAAGAACAAAUGUGUUAGUAACCAUGCAGGUCAUGACGGUACCGAAACAAAAAGCCACGGCUAACUACGUG
rnacentral:rRNA from 1 species